rnacentral:rRNA from 1 species
UACGUAGGGUGCGAGCGUUAAUCGGAAUUACUGGGCUUAAAGGGUGCGUAGGCGGCGCGGAAAGUUGGGUGUGAAAUCCCUCGGCUCAACCGAGGAACUGCGCUCAAUACUACCGUGCUCGAGGGAGAUAGAGGUGAGCGGAACUUAGGGUGGAGCGGUGAAAUGCGUUGAUAUCCUAAGGAACACCGGUGGCGAAAGCGGCUCACUGGAUCUCUUCUGACGCUGAGGCACGAAAGCUAGGGUAGCGAACGGGAUUAGAUACCCCGGUAGUCCUAGCCGUAAACGAUGAGCACUGGAUUGAAGGGUCCUCCAUAGCCUUUCAGUCGCAACGAAAGCGUUAAGUGCUCCGCCUGGGGAGUAUGGUCGCAAGGCUGAA